AUGUCCCUUCCAACCCAAAUCAUCCUGCGACCCCACUGGGGGGUGAGUUUCCAGUUUAACGAUCUAUUUCCAUCCAUUUCAGAGAGAAGAGAGGUGCAGAUAAUUGCAGUCCCUGCUGCAGAGGAAGAGGUGAAGGGAGAAGGUGCUGCUGGGCCUCCUUCCACCACUGAAACAAAGGAGACAGAGGGCGAGUCGCUGAUGGACAGAGCAAGAGCUCUGCCUGACACCACACCUGACACCGCAGGUGGAUCUCCCAGGUCUGCUGAGACAUGGCAGGAGGAAGAGGGAUCCUCACUGCUGGAGGAUGUCACAGCUCCAGAGAGCAACGCAGAGCCCUUGGCUGAGCGUGGGGCUGGAGACUCUGCUGAGGUGGCUUCCCUGGAGAGAAAGAAAGCGAAGAAGACUAAAGAAAAGAAGUCCAUCUCUGGGGAACAGGACUCUCUGCUUCCUCAAAGCACAGCACCAGCUCAAACCACAGAGUUGAAUGACACAAGUGCUGCUCCUCAAGAAAUCCAACCUCCCAGCGGUGAGGGAGCAAAACCAGGUGCUGAUGGAUGUAGUGAUGCCAGUGGAGACACACCUGAAGGCAACAGGAAUUUGGCACACCUGGAGAAGGAAGCUGGCAGCCCAGAAGCAGAGAGACUGAGCCCUGCAGAGCAGAGCAGCACAGCCGGGGGGGCUGCCUCAGCUCCCAGUGCCACAGCCCCGGGGGACAAGGUGGAGGAUGGAACAACCCCUGAGCACAGAGGAACAGCCAGGGGUGAUGUGGAAUGGGGCAGUGGUGCUCCUGGCCAGCUGCCAGCAGCCACAGCAGGUUCCCAGGCCUGGGACAGCAACAAGGAGCUGCUGUCAGCAGGGCAGGGAGCGAGUCCGUCUGGGCUGCCUCCUGCCAAGGGAGCCCCCCAAAGCAGGCCUGAGACCAAGACCUCCCCUGGGGCUCAGGGCCUGCAGGCUGGAAAGGCACCCAAGCAGAAAGGGACCAAUUCCACUGUCAAGGUGAGUGUGAGUGAGCUCUGGUGA
rnacentral:lncRNA from 1 species